rnacentral:lncRNA from 1 species
UUUGGGGCAAAAUCACGGGUUAUUCUAGUGAAAUCAGGGACAUCCGGGACGAAACAAAAGAAUAGGAGAAUUCAAGGACUAAGGCUGCAAUUUGAAAAUAUUCGCUUGGGUUAAACUGCACAAUCGAAAGUUCAGGAGUUAAUUCAAGUGGACAUUCCUGCCCAAUCAAUAGUGUUGGGGUCAAAGAGUAGGUAGCCAAAAGGUCAAGCGCCAGAUGUGCAAAUAUUCUAAACUCCACCAUUGGAGAGAACCGUGCUUUCUCUUUGCAGAAUCUGACGGCGAGCAUGAUUCCGACGAUGAGCACGGCCAAGAAGGUGAGCUGAUCACGGCGAGGAGGUGACUUGGAAGAAAGACCACGCGGUG